AGCCGCGGGAACACCGGCGGCCCGAGUGGUGAUCGUGAUUAUUGGGUCUAAAGGGUCCGUAGCCGGUUUGGUCAGUCCUCCGGGAAAUCUGAUAGCUCAACUAUUAGGCUUUCGGGGGAUACUGCCAGACUUGGAACCGGGAGAGGUAAGAGGUACUACAGGGGUAGGAGUGAAAUCUUGUAAUCCCUGUGGGACCACCUGUGGCGAAGGCGUCUUACCAGAACGGGUUCGACGGUGAGGGACGAAAGCUGGGGGCACGAACCGGAUUAGAUACCCGGGUAGUCCCAGCCGUAAACGAUGCUCGCUAGGUGUCAGGCAUGGCGCGACCGUGUCUGGUGCCGCAGGGAAGCCGUGAAGCGAGCCACCUGGGAAGUACGGCCGCAAGGCUGAAACUUAAAGGAAUUGGCGGGGGAGCACAACAACGGGUGGAGCCCUGCGGUUUAAUUGGACUCAACGCCGGACAACUCGACCGGGGGCGACAGCAAUAUGUAGGCCAAGCUGAAGACUUUGCCUGAAUCGCUGAGAGGGGUGGUGCAUGG
rnacentral:rRNA from 1 species